rnacentral:lncRNA from 1 species
UUAGAAGUAAUUUGGAAUGGACCGAUGAUGUAUAAAGAUUCAAACCCAUUAUGACUCAUCGAAUCUAUAUUAGCGCCUCUCAAACGAUCUAAUUGCUGUGGUUUGUCUGACCCAUGAUCGGCAAAUAUCUGUCUGACCUUUGAUUGGAGGCUAUUUUGUUCGACCCCUCAUCGCAUAUUCUUGAUCCGACUUCUGAUCUAAAAGAGCAAAUCGGAGUGCACACCUUAAACAUUACAGUUGCAUGAUUGAUUAUGACUCGUCCGACCCCUAGUCGGCAUGUGCCAGGUCUGACCCCUAAUCGAUCAAACUUUGAUCUGACCCUUAGUCGGAUGGUUCUUUGUCCGAAUCCUAGAUGGAAAAAGUUUGGUCCAACUCUUGAUCGGAGAAUUUGCUAGUCGAUCUCCAGUCGCACCCAAUCCCUACUCCGCUUGC